rnacentral:rRNA from 1 species
UACGUAGGGACCAAGCGUUGUUCGGAUUUACUGGGCGUAAAGGGCGCGUAGGCGGCAAUUCAAGUCAUCUGUGAAAUCUCCGGGCUUAACUCGGAACGGUCAGAUGAUACUGCUUUGCUAGAGUGCGGAAGGGGCAAUCGGAAUUCUUGGUGUAGCGGUGAAAUGCGUAGAUAUCGUAAGGAAGACCAGUGGCGAAGGCGGGUCUCUGGACAGUUCCUGACGCUGAGGCACGAAGGCCAGGGGAGCAAACGGG